rfam:Ovis aries breed Texel chromosome 1, whole genome shotgun sequence.
GCAUUGGUGGUUCAGUGCUAGAAUUCUCACCUGCCGUGCAGGAGGCUUGGGUUCGAUUCCCAGCCAAUGCA